rnacentral:rRNA from 1 species
AGGACGAACGCUGGCGGUGUGCUUCACACAUGCAAGUCGAACGAGGUAGCAAUACCUAGUGGCGGACGGGUGAGUAACACGUAGGAAUCUGCCCUCGAGUGGGGGAUAGCAAGCCGAAAGGCUUAUUAAUACCGCAUACGUAUUUCAAGAGACAUCUUGAUUUAUGAAAGGAGUAAUCCGCUCGAAGAUGAGCCUGCGUCCGAUUAGCUAGUUGGUGGGUAAAGGCCUACCAAGGCGACGAUCGGUAGCUGGUCUGAGAGGACGAUCAGCCACAAUGGGACUGAGACACGGCCCAUACUCCUACGGGAGGCAGCAGUGGGGAAUUUUACGCAAUGGGGGAAACCCUGACGUAGCGACACCGCGUGAGCGAAGAAGCCCUUUGGGGUGUAAAGCUCUGUCGACUGGAACGAAAAAAUGACGGUACCAGUAGAGGAAGCAUCGGCUAACUACGUGCCAGCAGCCGC